rnacentral:rRNA from 1 species
UACGGAGGUGGCAAGCGUUGCUCGGAAUCACUGGGCGUAAAGGGCGCGUAGGCGGGGAGGUAAGUCGGGUGUGAAAUCCCUCGGCCCAACCGAGGAACUGCGCCCGAGACUGCUUCUCUUGAGUCCCGGAGAGGAAGAUGGAAUUCCCGGUGUAGCGGUGAAAUGUGUAGAGAUCGGGAGGAACACCCGUGGCGAAGGCGGCCUGCUGGGCCGAUCCUGACGCUGAGGCGCGAAGGCGUGGGGAGCGAACGGG